GGUCAAGCUAGGAAGGGCACACGGUGGAUGCCUUGGCGUCGAGAGGCGAUGAAGGACGUGGGCAGCUGCGAAAAGCUUCGGGGAGUGGCUAACACACUUUGAU
rnacentral:rRNA from 1 species